AUAAGGACAUGUAUCGUGAUCACUGAGUGUAAGGGUCCGUAGGCGGCACAUAUAAGUCAGAGGUGAAAUCCCCCGGCUCAACCUAGGACUGCCUUUGAUACUGUAUGUCUUGAGUCGGUAGAGGUGAGUGGAAUUCCUAGUGUAGCGGUGAAAUGCAUAGAUAUUACUCAGGAACACCGAUGGCGAAGGCAACUUACUGGCCUGGAUUGACGCUGAGGGACGAAAGCGUGGGGAGCAAACAGGAUUAGAUACCCUGGUAGUCCACGCCGUAAACGAUGAUUACUCGAUGUCAGCGAUAUACUGUUGGUGUCUAACCGAAAGUGAUAAAUAAUCCACCUGGGGAGUACGAUCGCAAGGUUGAAACUCACAGGAAGUGACGGGGGG
rnacentral:rRNA from 1 species